rnacentral:rRNA from 1 species
UACAGGGGGUGCAAACGUUGCUCGGAAUUACUGGGCGUAAAGCGUGCGUAGACGGUUACGUAAGUCAGAUGUGAAAGCCCCGGGCUCAACCUGGGAAUUGCAUUUGAGACUGCGUAGCUAGGGUGCGGAAGAGGGAAGCGGAAUUUCCGGUGUAGCGGUGAAAUGCGUAGAUAUCGGAAGGAACACCAGUGGCGAAAGCGGCUUCCUGGUCCAGCACCGACGUUCAGGCACGAAAGCGUGGGGAGCAAACAGG